rnacentral:misc_RNA from 1 species
GUGAAUCAUCAAAUUUUUGAACGCAAAUUGCGCCUUUCACGGAAGUCAUGUCUGUUUGUGGUCACCAUUUAACAAAUAAUUUGCAGCGUUUUUGGUGUCGGACGGUGAUGAGCUUUCCAAGAAUUUUAAAUUUUUGGUGGCGCAUAAUGAACAGCGUUAAAGUUGUUUUCAGUUCGAGUGUAGUAAAAUCUUUGCUUGCGUUGUGAAAAAACAUACUCACGCAUUUGAGGUGGCAAUUUCUUUUUAUCCCGGCCC